CUGCAAUCAAGAACGAGAAGUGGAAUAAGGACAAAAACAGAUGAGUUAUAUAACACACAAGAAAUUGCAUAUUCAACUUGAAGUCUGACUCAGCCUACAUGGAUGCAUUUCUGCCUCAUUCUUACUUGGAAACCAUGUUAUGAAAGCCAUCUUUCCUAUCUUUGAGCAUUUUGCAAUAUCUUCCAGCAUGUUACUAUUUCAUACCAAGGAAGCUUGACUGAAAGAAACAGAGAGAGAGAGAGAGAGAGAGAGAGAGAAAGAGGGAGAAGCAGAUUUUCUCUCUUGUCAACCUAACCUGUCUUGCAAAUUCUGGCUUCCUAUUUAAUCAUUCCCUGAGGUAUUGACACUGAGACAGAUAAAGAAAGACUCAGGGGAGACCUUACCUCCUCCUUCCUACACAUGAUAAACUUUUCUUAAACCAACAAAUUUUAAUAUCAGAAUAGAAUAUAGUUAAUUGAAAAAUUAUACAUGUGAAGAAAUGAAGAGCAUAUUUUGAUUUAAAAUGUGCUAUUUAAAUCCAUUGUAGUUUCAUAGAAAAUGUUCAUAUGGUUAAAUGGUUAAAGGAAAUCUACUGUAACACAUUGGAAUUUAGUAUGAUUUCUAGAUCAUUAUGCAAAUCUUGUUAUAUUUUGUACUUGAUUCUAAGUCUUCAAUAAUUGAUCAACAAUUCUAUCAUGUCUUCAUUAAGUGCCACAUUUAGUGGAAUUUCUAGGAAUGACCAAAGAAAAAGUUUUGAAAAAAACAUAUUUAAAUAUGGGACUCAAAGUCAAAAGACCAGCUAUCAUACCUGGAGAGAAAAAAAAUCUAUAGCAGCUCCCCUCUUCAUUUGUACGGGUGUUCCUGUAUGUUCAAUGGAAGAAAAAAGAAUGAUCUCCAGGCUUCAUUUAUAAUUGAGUUGGCUCAGUAUGUGGAUGCUAUAAACAUGACAGUCAUGCUCAGAGUGGCUACAAAUGAAAGUGGAAAGAGUAUUUCCCAGUGGGUGAAGCUGCUGACAGUGAAGCUGGCCACCUAA
rnacentral:lncRNA from 12 species